AAACGAUGCCAACCAGCGAUCCGCCUGAGUUCCUUAAAUGACUCGGCGGGCAGCUUCCGGGAAACCAAAGUUUUUCGGUUCCGGGGGAAGUAUGGUUGCAAAGCUGAAACUUAAAGGAAUUGACGGAAGGGCACCACCAGGAGUGGAGCCUGCGGCUUAAUUUGACUCAACACGGGAAAACUUACCCGGCCCGGACACUGGCAGGAUUGACAGAUUGAGAGCUCUUUCUUGAUUCAGUGGGUGGUGGUGCAUGGCCGUUCUUAGUUGGUGGAGCGAUUUGUCUGGUUAAUUCCGAUAACGAACGAGACUCUAGCCUACUAAAUAGGCCACCGGCUUACUGACGUCGGUGGGACUUCUUAGAGGGACAGGCGGCGAUUCAGCCGCACGAAACAGAGCAAUAACAGGUCUGUGAUGCCCUUAGAUGUCCGGGGCCGCACGCGCGCUACACUGAAGUGAUCAGCGUGCAUUACAAACCUGCUCCGUCAGGAGUGGGGAACCCAAUGAACCUUCUUCGUGAUUGGGAUAGGGGAUUGUAAUUAUUCCCCUUGAACGAGGAAUUCCCAGUAAGCGCGAGUCAUAAGCUCGCGUUGAUUACGUCCCUGCCCUUUGUACACACCGCCCGUCGCUACUACCGAUUGAAUGAUUUAGUGAGGUCUUCGGACUGGCCGGCGCAGCUGUCUUCGGGCGGCCGCGCUGUGUUUGGAAAGAUGCCCAAACUUGAUCAUUUAGAGGAAGUAAAAGUCGUAACAAGGUUUCCGUAUGUGAACCUGCGGAAGGAUC
rnacentral:rRNA from 1 species